UACAGAGGGGGCAAGCGUUUGUUCGGAAUUACUGGGCGUAAAGGGCGCGUAGGCGGCCUGUUAAGUCGAACGUGAAAAUCCCCCGGGCUCAACCCGGGAACUGCGUCCGAUACUGGCAGGCUUGAAUCCGGGAGAGGGAUGCGGAAUUCCAGGUGUAGCGGUGAAAUGCGUAGAUAUCUGGAGGAACACCGGUGGCGAAAGGCGGCAUCCUGGACCGGCACUGACGCUGAGGAGCGAAAGCCGGGGAGCAAAACGGGG
rnacentral:rRNA from 1 species